AUUUGUUCCUAUAAAGUAGCAGAGAACACGGCUAUCUUUUUGAAUGAAAAAUGCGACGAAUUACUUCAUACUUAUAUAGAUAGAACUCUGAGUCCAACUUUUAGAUUGCGCAGAGAUACAAAAAACUUUGACUGCAAUGUUUUCUUAUCACAGAUUUUGUUGGUUGUUCAUGAUGCAGGCAUUGGCUUCGCUUGUGCAUCUGGGGGAUGCUCAUAAGAGCGUUCCCUUCCAUCUCGUGCAAGCCAAGCUUAAUUGUACAAAUGAAAAGGUGACGAUGGUUGACUUCCCGACAGUACCAGCUCUCAAAGGAGCAAGCCUCUCCGUCUUAUCAAUAGACUAUGAGUCCCGCAUCUUAGAAAUAGGUGAAAGUGGAGAUUGUCUUCCCAGAUUCUUUCUACAACGUCUCUACAAUUCAUCCAUUUAUCCUUUCCAAUUUGAUUAUUCCGACAUGCUAUACAAUCUUAUUUUCUUAGAUUGUUCUUCGUUUGCGUUGAGCUCAUUCUGUUCAUCUAAUAGUAGUACCCCCGACUUGUGCUUCUGCCCAAUUUAUGCUGUUAGCUCUGAAGAUGGUGUCUUGGCUAUGGACGGGGACCAACUAAUUUACUGCACAAGAACUUAACUUUGGCUACUUGAGACUCAGAUGCCCUAAAGCAGACGUUGAAAAGCAGAAAACCAGCAAGAUUCUCACGUUUGCUUUACCAUCCACAGGUCCCCUUCUGCUAGUGUUGCUGUUCUUUUUUGGCUUUUACAUAUAUCACUUCUUCAAAAAGACAGAUGAUCAAGCAAGACUGGAAAAGUUUAUCGACGAUUACAGGGCACUCAAGCCCACUAGAUUCUCUUAUGCUGACCUUAAGAGAAUCACAAACCAUUUCAAGAAAAAAUUAGGUGAAGGAGCUCAUGGAACAGUCUUCAAAGGUCAUUUAUCUACUGAUAUUGAAGUGGCUGUAGAGGUACUCAAUCAUUCAGAAACCGAUGGUAAAGAGUUCAUUAAUGAGGUGGGUACGAUGGGUAAAAUUCAUCA